UCCCUCCCCACCAGGAUCAGAGGAGGCUUACCCAAGGCUAUGGCAGGGUGUGGCACUACUAUGUGUGCUGGAUGCAUCUGGCCAGAGCUGUGUGUGAGCCUCUGCACACUUGUAAGGACUCGUGGGUCUGAGCACGCUGUACAGAUGUACGUGAUGGUGGCUUUCUGUGACUGUGGGCGUGAAGGGGCUGUGCACACAGGAAUGUGGGUGUCUCGGAAAGGUUUGAGAGCCUCUGUGGUCUGGCUGCCCAUGUAGACUGUUGCUAGUUGAACAGAACUGGGUCAGGCUCUAGGAAACUCUUCAAAUGAAUCCCAGGUUUACACGGCACUAUCCACACUGAGAGAAUUAGGACUUCAGCCAAGGAGAGCUCCCACCAUAUCAUCACCCGUCAGAUGAAGUACAGCAAGGAUGGGGAUUUGCCUAAGGUCUGGGAGUCUGGGUGUCUAGGGCAUGCAUGCGUGCAUAGGCAAACAGAAGAAUCACCUCAAAUGCUUCUCUAACAAACUGUGUUCCUUGAGGAAUCCCCAACAGCUCAUCCAAGGACCAUGGAGCACUAUGGGAAGGUGCCUGGCUGGGGUCUUCAGGGCUGGAGAGAUGGUUUACUUGGUAAGAUACUUGCCAUGUGAACAUCCAGAUCUGAGUUCAGUCCCAGCACUCAUAUAAAAAUGGCUGUAGGGAUGCAGAGACUAAAGGAGCCCUAGGGUUCACUGGCUAGCCAGAGCAAUCCAGAUGACUUCCAGAUUUAUUGAGAGACCUUGUCUCAGAAAAUAAGGGGACCCCCUCACACACACACACACACACACACACACACACACACACGGCAUGGUUUUCCAUCCCAGAAUUCACCAUUCCAUCAGACCCAUCUUGCCUGUCUGUUAACAGGGGCAGCAUUCUGCACCCAGUAAUUCUCUCAUGUGGGAGGCCAAGAACCUAAAGAGAGGGAAGGUUUCUUGCAGCAUGGUUCCCCACUACGUUGGAUGAAACAGAGGCUCUCAGGGGUAUGGGCAGGAAACUGGGCUUCUCUUACCUAAGGCACCACUUACUUGACACCCAGGAAGAGGACCUGUAGCCAUAGCCAAGCCAGUAGCAGCAAGAUCACCAUGGUGGGGAAGGCAAAACCAAACCAUGAAGCAAAGUUCACCACGUUACUAUUUUCGGGGAAGAUCCUGAUGAAGAAGACAUGGGCUGUUGUGUAACAGUGACCCUAAAACUGCCUGGUCCCAUUUGUCAUUCAGUGAGAGUGCAAGCCCCCUUUUGUCAUGCUGCCCCCACCGCUGGCACUCACGAGUUGACCUGGCCUUGGAGCACCAGGUUAGGUGUGGUACCCGUCAGGGUGGCAAUGCCCCCAAUGCUGGCUGAGUAGCAGAUGCAGAGACUCAGGCCCUGGCUGAAGCGGUGAUGCUCUUUGGUCUUCUGAGCUCUUGGCUCCGAAGAAACAGAUACAGCCUGACCAUUAUCUGUGAACAAGGAAAAGCAUGUGGGGACAGGGACAAGAGUAACUGCAGGAGUCCUGACUUUGUCCUGAGGCCUCCAGGGGCCGUGGGCAAAGGCUGUCUCCAGAUUCCAGCAUUCUCUGGAGCUGUGGGUUCUCAGACACGUUCUGGUUCAACAUGUCUUGGGGAACUGAAGCACAGAGAUGUGAAGAGGGUUACCUAGACCAAGCAGGAGGAAUAAAGCCCAGAACACGUCCCAUGUCCCAGACUUCAGCUCGCUUCUCACCAAACUCUUGGAUUGCUGGGAAUGAAGGGUCCUAGCACAGGGUGCUUCUCUCUUUGGUGUUUACUAUUGUUAUCAUUGUUACAUUACCAGGACUCAACAUGCUGGGCAACUGCCCUACCAUUUUUAGCCCCAUGGAUCUUGGCAUUUAAUAUUUUUGAAAGAAAAUUAUUAUGGUGUUAUUAUUGUUGUUAGUAAUAACAAUAACAACUAUUUAUUAUUAUUAUACACAUGAUUGCACAUGCACACGCACACGCACACGCACACGCACACGCACACGCACACACACACACACACACACACACACACACACACACGUGCGCGCAUGCGCGUGCCUCAGUACACAUAUGGAAGUCAGAAGACAACUUGCAGGAGCCAGUUCCCUCUUUCUAUCAUGUGGAUCCCAGGGAUCGAACUCAGGUCUUUGGGCUUGCUGGCAGGUACCUUUACCUCCUGAAAUAUCUCACCAACCUCCACUGGCAUUUUAAAUCUAGGAAAGCCUCAAAAAGACCUGGACAGGUUGGCCACUCAUCUCUCUCUCUCUCUCUCCCCCAUGGGCUCCAAGAUGAAUACUCUUGUAGUCAUGUUAGAUUUUCCCAAGCAUGGAGGGGCUGAGGACAGAGUCUGUUUCAUGUCUCUUACCAAGCUUGGUCUCCUCCUUCUGGGGACUUGCUUCCUGGAGCUCAAAGGAAGGGUUACUAUUGCCUUCCUCCACGUCCUUUUGUGAACCCUGCAGCUGCUCCAGGACUGCACACCCGAUGGGUAGCAUCAUGGCUGUGGUGGCUGUGUUGCUGAUCCACAUGGAGAGGAAGGCUGUGACCAACAUGAAGCCCAGAAGCAGCCUAGAACCAAACAGACAGACACACUGCCACUCCAGCUGUCUUCCAGACAUAGGAUGCCUGUUUGUUCCUCCCACCUGGCUAGCACGGACUCACAGGGCGGGCCGCACUCCUAUGAUAAGGAGCACUCCAAGGGCAAUGCGCUUGUGCAGGUUCCAGUGCUCCACGGCGAUGGCCACCAUCAGACCCCCGACGAACAAUAUGUUGGUGUCCUUGAAGUACUCUAAGCAGACCUGGGGAAGAGCAGGGAUGUGUCCGAGACUCUGGAGUCUCCUUCUGAUACCACCGAGCUUGUGGGGAACAGUCGUGACAUCGUUACAAAUUGGCAUUCCCUUGGGACCUCAGAACCAAAUGGAAAUGGCCUUUGGGCCACCGACGGUUGACAGGAGCCAGGUUGCCUGUUUCUCCUAAACUCACUCCUCUUCUCCUCUCAAAGACUGGGAGGCUCUAGCCUGAGUCCAGUUGUGGUUCAAGCUGAGAACUGGGAGAUAACUAAUUCUGUGCUCUUUCUAGAACGUAUGUGUCAUCCCUGGGCCAGUAUCAACACCAUCCCCUGAGACCGGUUACAAGCCAAAUGUUCAGCGGGGCUUGUUAGCUCUGCUGAAGUCCCCGGAGCAGGGAAGCUGUGAAUUCGAGGCCAGCCUGGGCUACACAGAAAGAAGCUGUGUUAGAAUGAAGGAGAAGGAAGAGGACUAAGAGAAGGAAGAAGGGAGGGAGGAGGAAGAGAGAGAAGGAGGAAGAAGAGGAAAGAGGAAGGGAAGAGAAAGAGGAAAAUCCUUUAGAUUUAGGUGAGCUCAGACGAAGGCCCAUCUAUCUGGUUUGCUUCUCAGUUCUGGUUGUUCUGGUGCGAUUCAAACUCAAGAGCCAUUACAUUAGAAGUAUAGCUGGGGGGCCGGAGAGAUGGUUCAUCAGUUCAGAGCACUUUCUGCUCUUCCAGAGGGCCCAGGUUCAGUUCCCAGUGUCCCCGAAUGGUUCACAACCAUCUUUAACACAAGGGCAUUCAAUGCCCUUUUGUGAUCUCUGAGGGUACCAGGCACAAAUGUGAUACACAUAAAUGUGUGCAUCAAAUACAAACAUCUUUUU
rnacentral:lncRNA from 1 species